UGGUUCUGGCAUCGAUGAAGAACGCAGCGAAAUGCGAUAAGUAAUGCGAAUUGCAGAAUUUCCGUGAGUCAUCGAAUCUUUGAACGCACAUUGCGCCCUUUGGUAUUCCGAAGGGCAUACCUGUUCGAGCGUCAUUAUCCGUCCCUCCACCCCCCUGUUGGGGUUGGGCCUUGGGACCAAGUCGGUGUCCAACCAACUGGUCCCCAAAAAUAAUGACGGCGUCCGUGGGACCCUCGAUACAUUGAGCUUUUCGGGGCACGUAUCGAGUUUCAAGGACCUUCCGGGCCGGUCUGUACCUUUUAUUUUCUCAGGUUGACCUCGGAUCAGGUAGGAAUACCCGCUGA
rnacentral:misc_RNA from 1 species